rnacentral:lncRNA from 1 species
GGUGCUUUGCAUUUUCCUGGAAUUCCUGACUGCGAUGAAAAUGGAACAUUGUUUCUUGGCUGUAUUUGCAGCUCUGCUCUCCACCCAUCCAGUCUAAGGGACUGGGACUUCAAGAUCCUGGGAAGAAGUUCUUGGGUCUUGCAGGAGCUGCUUGCGCCAUCUCAGUUUGUUGUACCAGUGCCGCCAUCUCAUAAGCUGUGGAAGCACAACAUGACACAAAAGAGCAAUGGAGGAGGUCAGCAGAGCACCGUCUAAAGCAAUGAGGAAAGCUGGGUGUCAGCACCGCAGCUCCUCGGGCAAGGUGGUAGCUGAACCUCUAUGUGGUCAACAGCGUGGCAGUCAAAAGCAACGGUGGCCAGGUGCCACAGGCAAGCUCAGAGGGGCGAAGCUGCACACCGGCCAGCAGCCAAAAAGGAGAGAUGGUGGUGGUGGUGGGUGUUGAGGAGCACAGUAUUGCCUGGUGACUUGGUUCAGUGUUUCCUUCUUGUUUUGCAGGUGCUUUGUGGCCCCUUUGGACUCAGAGGAGCAUUUGUGGUGACACGGUGACAGAGGUGUCACCAUGGAGCUGGCCGGGUCCCUCAGCUUCCUCCUGUUCUUCCUCUUCCUCCUAAUGCUGCUGCUGCUGCUGGGGAAGGGGCGGCAGGGGGGGCACCC